rnacentral:lncRNA from 1 species
GACGACUAAAAGCCCCUUUCACUGAUAUUACAAGUACAUGUCAUUUCAUGUUUACCUAAAAACCGGUGACCUGGAGCAUGGGCUGAAAGAACAACACAUAAGAGUGCUUCUUGAAACACUGCCUAAAAUUUUGUGUGAACUCUAUGGUGAUCUUGGUUUUAAAAACAUUUACAUUAAAACAUUAAUUUUCUUCCAGUUUCCUUAAAAUGAAUCCCAGAAACUCCUUCUAUGUAGUGUGACGAGAAUUUCAAUAGAUGGCAAUUUGCAAAUAUGGCAUCAAACACCUCCGGC